UUGAGUGGAAAUUUUAGGCUUUUUGAUGAAUUGAAUUCGAUCAUUAGAUGACGAACCAACCGACAAGUGUCUUCAUCACAAACUAUUAGAUCGUAAGAUUGUCAUAUAUCCCUGGUGAAGAAUUAGGCUUUCAAUUAAAGUACCUUUGAAAAGGAAAUGGACUGUUCGUGAUUGAAGAGCUCGUUAACCUUUCUGUCAUAUAUUCUUCUGAUCAUAUGAUGUCUCAU
rnacentral:lncRNA from 1 species